rnacentral:rRNA from 1 species
AGCGAACGCUGGCGGCAGGCCUAAUACAUGCAAGUCGAGCGCACCUUCGGGUGAGCGGCGGACGGGUGAGUAACGCGUGGGAACGUGCCCUUUGGUACGGAACAACUGAGGGAAACUUCAGCUAAUACCGUAUGUGCCCUUCGGGGAAGGAUUAUCGCCAUUGGAGCGGCCCGCGUUGGAUUAGGUAGUUGGUGAGGUAAAGGCUCACCAAGCCUACGAUCCAUAGCUGGUCUGAGAGGAUGAUCAGCCACACUGGGACUGAGACACGGCCCAGACUCCUACGGGAGGCAGCAGUAGGGAAUCUUGCGCAAUGGGCGAAAGCCUGACGCAGCCAUGCCGCGUGAAUGAUGAAGGUCUUAGGAUUGUAAAAUU